CUUUCUGAAAGUUUAUUCUCUUUCGUGCAGAAAGAGCAAGAGCCAUUACAGCAUAUGAAAAGUAAAUUUGCAGAUAUGUCAGUCAUACAAACACUGGUACACGAUUUUAUAUUACAUUCAAUUAUUUAUAGUCUAAGAGUAAAGCCAUUUUCAAUUAAUAUUUUAUAGUGCGUCUUUUCUGUUUGUAAUGUUAUACUGCUGUAUCAAGUUUGGGGUGAAGGUUGGUGCCUGUUAAUUCGUUCAAACCCGCUGCAUAUAUUAUAUGCACCUGUCCUAAGUCAGGAAAAGUGCUUGACGUUUGUUGGUAUGUUUGAUAAAUGUUUCUCUUUUUGUAAAAUAGAUUAGACCGUUGGUUUUCCUGUUUGAAUUGUGAUAAAAUGGUCUUAUUGGAGCCCUUUAUAGCU
rnacentral:lncRNA from 1 species